rnacentral:rRNA from 1 species
GACAGAGGGUGCAAACGUUGUUCGGAAUCACUGGGCAUAAAGCGCACGUAGGCGGCCCACUAAGUCAGGUGUGAAAGCCCCCGGCUCAACCGGGGAAUGGCAUUUGAUACUGGUGGGCUCGAGGAAGGUAGGGGUGGGCGGAACUCCAGGUGGAGCGGUGAAAUGCGUAGAUAUCGCUUGGAACGCCAAAGGUGAAGACAGGUGACUGGGGGUGUGCCGACGCUGAGACGCGAAAGCCAGGGGAGCAAACGGG